UCCCAGUUCGGAGUUCGUGGAAGUGGUUGAAAACAGACUAAUCUAAUCACUCAUCUUUAUUCUAUUUAUAUCAUGACACAUUCGUCAUGUUCAUUUGAGAAUCCCAGCAAGAGAAAGAACUAUGUCCAGUAGACUAGAUGCCAAUCUUGUCGCUGGUAGCAACAGUGAGUGCAGUGGAGACAGACAUGAAGUCCAUGAGACAGAGUUAGGGCCUCGCCUGGAACUCUACGUUGAUAAGGUCCCUGUCCAGACAGAGGACUGCGAAGUCAAGGAAGAAGAGUUUGUCGUGGUGGACGCGAAUAAACCUGGGCUCGCCCUACUUGUAGGGUUUGAAACCUUUAAAAAUGGUGAAGUACCAAGACCUGGGGUCAAAAGAGAUCUAGAAAAAAUGUACGAGUUGUUCCAUGAACAUCUAGGCUUUGAAGUUCAAUGGAGAAAAGACUUGACCGAUGAAGAAUGCAUGAAGUGGAUCAAAGAUGUGACCUCUAAUACUGAACUUCUACAAAGAAUCUCGUGCGUUGUCAUGGUGAUAAGUUCCCAUGGCAUGGAGGCAGAAGUAGGGAAGAGCAACAUCAUGAAUCCAGAAUUCAGGAGACAGGAGAUUAAGUUUUACCAACACCGAUUUUCCACGACAGACGGCAGCAUUCAGACCAGCGAAAUCAUCGAUAUGUUUGACGACCAAAAGUGUCAGGCCUUGAAAGGGAAGCCGAAAGUCUUCUUCAUACAAGCUUGUAGGAGUAGGGUUGGUGAAGAAAAAACCGUAGGUGACAUGGUCGAUGGAGGCGUGUCUAUCAGGAUCCAAUCAGAAUUCAGGGAAGAACCAAUCCCAUCAGCACAACCUGUUAUGUCAUCUCAAAAUAACCCUGUAGUUCAAAACAUGGAAUCCCAUUCUAGGAUGGAUGCCAAGGGAAUAAGAGCAGAAAAUUUCAGGAAAAACAACAAAUUGUUCUCUGACUUAUCUGGUCGUCUACGUGCCUCAAUGGAGGAAGAGAUUGCCAUAGCGCCCCCACCGUGUUUCCACAACUGUAUGAUAGUGAUGGCAAGUCCAUCAGGUAUGGCUGCGUGGUCAGAGCUGGAUACAGGAGGCUGGCUGAUAACGUGUCUCUACAGAGUUUACAUGAAUCACGUGAAUAACGGACACAAGAUCAGAAUGCUCCCCGCCAUGACGAAAAUCAACUACCUGAUGGCCAUGACAAUGGAGUCGAUCACAAACGAUGUCAGUCUCAACUUCAUGAAGUGUGUGCCGGUGACAACUCACAUGUUAGAGAGAGACAUAGUCCUGGUGCCAAAAAACCUCCAGUGAAAAAAACACCUGGUGCUCUUUACUGUUAAACUUGCUUCCAAAGGGCUAUAAAAUGCAACUUCUUUGCUGCUGAGUAAAUUCCAGUGUUUGUUAAGAUUUUUCAACUGUACUAACAAAUGUAUUAAUACAGCACCCAGAGAUACAUGUAUAUAUGUGUAAAUAUGCGCAAACGGUGUCCACCUUAUACUGAUAAUAAUUUUAUUUUGUAGCAUAGAUUCAGCU